CCAAAGCAGGACGAGACAGAAUCAAGACCAAGACCAAGACCGGGUGAGACCGAAUCAAGACCAAGACCGAGUCAAGACGAAGACCAAGACCGGGUGAGACCGAGUCAAGACCAAGACAGGGUGAGACCAAGUCAAGACCAAGACAGGGUGAGACCGAGUCAAGAC